AGUUGUAAUUUGCAGAAGGUGCUUCGGGCGCGACGGCGGUCCAAGUUCCUUGGAAUCGGACGUCGAAGAGGGUGAGAAUCCCGUAUUUGGCCGAUCGUCAAGCCCACCGCGAAGCCCUUUCGACGAGUCGAGUUGUUUGGGAAUGCAGCUCCAAGCGGGUGGUAAAUUCCAUCUAAAGCUAAAUACCUGCCAGAGACCGAUAGCGCACAAGUAGAGUGAUCGAAAGAUGAAAAGCACUUUGAAAAGAGAGUCAAACAGCACGUGAAAUUGUUGAAGGGGAAGCGCUUGCAACCAGACUCGCACGCGGGGGCUCAGCCGUUCCUCGGGACGGUGCGCUCCCCCGCGAUCGGGCCAGCAUCGGUUUCGGCGGCCGGACAAAGGCCCGGGGAAAGUAGCUCCCUCGCGGGAGUGUUAUAGCCCCGGGUGCAAUGCGGCCCNCCGGGACCGAGGACCGCGCUUUUGNUAGGAUGCUGGCGUAAUGGUUCCCAGCGACCCUUCUUGAACCCCGGACCAAGGAGUCGCCCGGCGACGCGAGUGUUCGGGCGUCAAACCCGGGCGCCCAAUGAAAGUGAACGGAGGUGGGAGCCCCCGGGCGCACCAUCGACCGAUCCCGAUGUCUUCGGAAGGAUUUGAGUAGGAGCGCCGCCGGUCGGACCCGAAAGAUGGUGAGCUAUACGUGGAUAGGGUGAAGCCAGAGGAAACUCUGGUGGAGGCUCGCAGCGGUUCUGACGUGCAAAUCGAUCGUCGAAUCUGCGUAUAGGGGCGAAAGACUAAUCGAACCAUCUAGUAGCUGGUUCCUGUCGAAGUUUCCCUCAGGAUAGCAGCAACGAAAACAGUCUCAUGGGGUAGAGCGAACGAUUAGAGGCCUUGGGGCGGAAACCGCCUUAACCUAUUCUCGAACUUCGAAUAUGUGAGAAGUCCCCGUUACUCGA
rnacentral:rRNA from 1 species